rnacentral:rRNA from 1 species
GACGAACGCUGGCGGCGUGCUUAACACAUGCAAGUCGAACGGAAAGGCCCUGCUUUUGUGGGGUGCUCGAGUGGCGAACGGGUGAGUAACACGUGAGUAACCUGCCCUUGACUUUGGGAUAACUUCAGGAAACUGGGGCUAAUACCGGAUAGGAGCUCCUGCUGCAUGGUGGGGGUUGGAAAGCUUCGGCGGUUGGGGAUGGACUCGCGGCUUAUCAGCUUGUUGGGGGGGUAGUGGCUUACCAAGGCUUUGACGGGUAGCCGGCCUGAGAGGGUGACCGGCCACAUUGGGACUGCGAUACGGCCCAGACUCCUACGGGAGGCAGCAGUGGGGAAUAUUGCACAAUGGGCGGAAGCCUGAUGCAGCAACGCCGCGUGCGGGAUGACGGCCUUCGGGUUGUAAACCGCUUUCGCCUGUGACGAAGCGUGAGUGACGGUAAUGGGUAAAGAAGCACCGGCUAACUACGUG